CGUAGGGGGCAAACGUUGUCCGGAUUUACUGGGUGUAAAGGGUGCUCAGGCGGUUUUGUAAGUCAGAAGUGAAAUCCUAGGGCUUAACUCUGGAACUGCUUUUGAUACUGCAAGGCUUGAAUAUGGAAGAGGAGGGCGGAAUUUCUGGUGUAGCAGUGAAAUGCGUAGAUAUCAGAAAGAACACCAGUGGCGGAGGCGGCCCUCUGGUCCAUUAUUGACGCUAAAGCACGAAAGCGUGGGGAGCAAACAGGAUUAGAUACCCUGGUAGUCCACGCCUUAAACGAUGAAUACUAGACGUUGGGGUUAAACUCAGUGUCGCAGCUAACGCAUUAAGUAUUCCACCUGGGGAGUACGAUCGCAAGGUUG
rnacentral:rRNA from 1 species